rnacentral:tRNA from 1 species
GUCUGCAUGGUAUAGUGGUUUGAGCAUUCGACUGUAACUCUGGAGACCAGGGUUCAAAUCCCUGCUUGGCCA